GACAAACGCUGGCGGCGUGCUUAAUACAUGCAAGUCGAACGGUACCCCUUCGGGGGUAUAGUGGCGGACGGGUGAGUAACACGUAGAUAACCUGCCCUGCUGAGGGGAAUAACAUCUCGAAAGAGAUGCUAAUACCGCAUAAGCUCUAGGUUGCGAGACUUAGAGGAAACCUGCUUCGCAAGAGGUGGGGCUGCAGGAGGGGUCUGCGGCGGAUUAGCUAGUGGUGAGGUAACGGCUCACCAAGGCGACGAUCCGUAGCUGGUCUGAGAGGACGGCCAGCCACACUGGGACUGAGACACGGCCCAGACUCCUACGGGAGGCAGCAGUAAGGAAUAUUCCACAAUGGCGAAAGCCUGAUGGAGCGACGCCGCGUGAGGGAAGAAGG
rnacentral:rRNA from 1 species